GUCUACUUGUUUCGGACGUGAUGCCUAUAGAAACAAUCAUUGCAUAGAUAUCGUCACGACUUUGCGCGGUUCUAUCAAUUGCUCGACAGUAAUUUGUUCACCCACCGUCUACUUGCUUUCAUGAGAGAAGCCACUAGUAAACACUAGGGCCCCCGGGUCUAUUCACAUCCAUCGUUUACACCUCCGCUUUUACUUUGCUUUGUUACUUUCCUGCUUU
rnacentral:lncRNA from 1 species